UUGCUGCUCCAAUUGUCUGGACACG
rnacentral:miRNA from 1 species